ACACGUAUAAAUGAGCGACCAAAACCCUAGUCCAUUCUUCCCACCGCCGCCUGGCCCGUUGCCGCUCCGCGUCCACCGAAGAAUCACCAAUGGCUCCGAUGUCGAAGAUGGCGCUCGGCAUAAAGCGGGCGUCGAGAUCGCACACCUACCACCGCCGCGGGCUUUGGGCCAUCAAGGCCAAGCACGGCGGCGCCUUCCCCAAGGCCGAGAAGCCGGCCGCCGUCGCCGAGCCCAAGUUCUAUCCCGCUGAUGAUGUCAAGCCACGCACCGUCAGCACACGCAAACCCCAUCCCACCAAGCUCAGAUCGACCAUCACACCGGGCACGGUGCUGAUCCUGCUCGCGGGGAGGUACAUGGGGAAGCGCGUGGUGUUCCUCAAGCAGCUCAAGUCCGGCCUUCUCCUCAUCACUGGACCUUUCAAGAUCAAUGGCGUGCCAAUCCGCAGAGUGAACCAGACUUACGUCAUUGCCACAUCCACAAAGGUCGACAUCUCUAAGGUUAAUGUGCAGAAGUUUGAUGACAAGUACUUUGCUAGGGAGAAGAAGACUAGGGCAAAGAAGACUGAGGGCGAGCUAUUUGAGUCGGAGAAGGAGGCAACCAAGAAUUUGCCAGACUUCAAGAAGGAUGACCAGAAGGUCAUUGAUGCCGAGUUGAUCAAGGCUAUCGUUGCUGUCCCAGACCUUAAAAAUUAUCUUGGUGCCCGGUUCUCUCUCAGGGAUGGUGACAAGCCGCAUGAGAUGACCUUCUAAGUUACCUGGGAAACAAGAACGGAGUUGUAAGUGAGAUAUUUGUUUUGCUUACAUGGACAAGAGAGAUGAACACUGGAGCAAGACCAAGCAUGGAGAUGAUGCCAUGCACAAGGGAAACAAGAACGGAGUUGUAAGUGAUGCUUUCAAGACUUUGAAGCCAUCAUAAGGAGUGCAUAAAGCUUUGGACGAAAUAAACAAGAGGCCACUUCAUAAAUUUCGUCCAGAGGCUGUUCUAGGAAACAGACCUUCGUGGUCAGGUUGAUCAUGCUCCGGCGUGGUCAAUAACCUCUCGGAGUUGGUUUAGCGAUUGCCAAGGCCGGACGUCCUCGCAUGUUCGUAGUCGGAUCAUCAAAGUCGACUUCCUCCAAAACGAUAGCUACCAUCUCAUCGAAAGAUGAGACACUUUUGCCUCUAUCAACUGGGGGAGGUGCAGCCAAGGCUGCUCCUCCAUGCCGUCGUCAGCGAGCUUCACUCUGACCCUGCAUGCGUCCUUUAUGCAGAUGCCACCGACUAUCUCUACCUACUCUGUGGUCGAUGAUGACUUCAGCAUGUAUAGUGCCAAUGAGGUGUAUCAUGAAAGGGAUAGGCAAAAUAAUUGGUUAGUUUUGAUAGUAUACGAUUGUAAUUUUAUAUGAAAAUUUGUAGCGCACAUUAGUUUAUAAUUACGAUAAUGUAGUCAGCAAUCAGGAGAAUGGUGAACGAGGCAGUAGGCAGA